CAGCCGCCGCGGUAAUACGUAGGGGGCGAGCGUUGUCCGGAAUUAUUGGGCGUAAAGCGCGCGCAGGCGGUCCCUUAAGUCUGAUGUGAAAGCCCACGGCUCAACCGUGGAGGGUCAUUGGAAACUGGGGGACUUGAGUGCAGAAGAGGAGAGCGGAAUUCCACGUGUAGCGGUGAAAUGCGUAGAGAUGUGGAGGAACACCAGUGGCGAAGGCGGCUCUCUGGUCUGUAACUGACGCUGAGGCGCGAAAGCGUGGGGAGCAAACAGGAUUAGAUACCCUGGUAGUCCACGCCGUAAACGAUGAGUGCUAAGUGUUAGAGGGGUUAAACCCUUUAGUGCUGUAGCUAACGCGUUAAGCACUCCGCCUGGGGAGUACGGCCGCAAGGCUGAAACUUAAAGGAAUUGGGG
rnacentral:rRNA from 1 species